UAAGGGCGCACGGUGGAUGCCUUGGCACUAGAAGCCGAUGAAGGACGUUACUAACGACGAUAUGCUUUGGGGAGCUGUAAGUAAGCUUUGAUCCAGAGAUUUCCGAAUGGGGAAACCCAGCAUGAGUUAUGUCAUGUUAUCGAUAUGUGAAUACAUAGCAUAUCAGAAGGCACACCCGGAGAACUGAAACAUCUUAGUACCCGGAGGAAGAGAAAGAAAAUUCGAUUCCCUUAGUAGCGGCGAGCGAAACGGGAAGAGCCCAAACCAACAAGCUUGCUUGUUGGGGUUGUAGGACACUCUAUACGGAGUUACAAAGGACGACAUUAGACGAAUCAUCUGGAAAGAUGAAUCAAAGAAGGUAAUAAUCCUGUAGUCGAAAAUGUUGUCUCUCUUGAGUGGAUCCUGAGUACGACGGAGCACGUGAAAUUCCGUCGGAAUCUGGGAGGACCAUCUCCUAAGGCUAAAUACUCUCUAGUGACCGAUAGUGAACCAGUACCGUGAGGGAAAGGUGAAAAGCACCCCGGAAGGGGAGUGAAAUAGAACCUGAAACCGUGUGCUUACAAGUAGUCAGAGCCCGUUAAUGGGUGAUGGCGUGCCUUUUGUAGAAUGAACCGGCGAGUUACGAUUUGAUGCAAGGUUAAGCAGUAAAUGUGGAGCCGUAGCGAAAGCGAGUCUGAAUAGGGCGUUUAGUAUUUGGUCGUAGACCCGAAACCAGGUGAUCUACCCUUGGUCAGGUUGAAGUUCAGGUAACACUGAAUGGAGGACCGAACCGACUUACGUUGAAAAGUGAGCGGAUGAACUGAGGGUAGCGGAGAAAUUCCAAUCGAACCUGGAGAUAGCUGGUUCUCUCCGAAAUAGCUUUAGGGCUAGCCUCAAGUGAUGAUUAUUGGAGGUAGAGCACUGUUUGGACGAGGGGCCCCUCUCGGGUUACCGAAUUCAGACAAACUCCGAAUGCCAAUUAAUUUAACUUGGGAGUCAGAACAUGGGUGAUAAGGUCCGUGUUCGAAAGGGAAACAGCCCAGACCACCAGCUAAGGUCCCAAAAUAUAUGUUAAGUGGAAAAGGAUGUGGCGUUGCCCAGACAACUAGGAUGUUGGCUUAGAAGCAGCCAUCAUUUAAAGAGUGCGUAAUAGCUCACUAGUCGAGUGACACUGCGCCGAAAAUGUACCGGGGCUAAACAUAUUACCGAAGCUGUGGAUUGUCCUUUGGACAAUGGUAGGAGAGCGUUCUAAGGGCGUUGAAGCAUGAUCGUAAGGACAUGUGGAGCGCUUAGAAGUGAGAAUGCCGGUGUGAGUAGCGAAAGACGGGUGAGAAUCCCGUCCACCGAUUGACUAAGGUUUCCAGAGGAAGGCUCGUCCGCUCUGGGUUAGUCGGGUCCUAAGCUGAGGCCGACAGGCGUAGGCGAUGGAUAACAGGUUGAUAUUCCUGUACCACCUAUAAUCGUUUUAAUCGAUGGGGGGACGCAGUAGGAUAGGCGAAGCGUGCGAUUGGAUUGCACGUCUAAGCAGUAAGGCUGAGUAUUAGGCAAAUCCGGUACUCGUUAAGGCUGAGCUGUGAUGGGGAGAAGACAUUGUGUCUUCGAGU
rnacentral:rRNA from 1 species